rnacentral:lncRNA from 1 species
UCAAACAAUGCAUAUGAGAUUGAUUUAGAACUAACUUAAUAGAUAUUUAUGUUCCAUUACAUGGUACUUGGUAGCUUAAAAGAAGAUAUUCAGAUCACUUGAUAAUGUCAUACAUUGGCUUUAUAAAAGUAAGCUAUAUUAGCAAAGGCCAGAGAUGCAUUGUCUUUCUCGCAGCAAGGACCAAGACGCGAGAAGGUGGUGGUAUUAGGUAGAGUCAUCGCUACUUGUCCGAGCAGUAUCGAACAUAAUUUCGUCGUCUAAGCAGGCAUGCUUAUGGUCAGUGGCGGCGCCAGGAUUCAGCCACACCCCCGGCCGGCCUAGGAAGCCUUCCAGCACUGCAGUGCUCUCUACAGUAUACAAAGGGAAUCAGCCUUAUACCCCAGGCAUCCACUCGGGCUGCCUGGGGCCUGUCUCCGCCGCAGCCUACAAUCGCACAUAGUGGUUUAAGCCAUCAUCCAUGUCUCCAACAUAACCCUCAAUGCAGCUUGAAUCUGAGUCUGGAUCAUAUGCCUUUCUUCUGCAAUGAGACAUGCCACGCUAGUCACGCUUUGAAGCGCAACCACAACAUCAUGAAUUUCCAGAAGAGUCUAUUUGAUAUCACAGAUAGUGAUUAAAGCAGUAGGGUCCAAUGUAGCUCGAUUAUGGAUUUUGUUUGAUGUAACACGCACUUCGUCUGAUAGUGUGACGCUUCCCUAGUCAUCCGUUUAAUCUCAACAGGACAACAUCACAUUUUAUCUGCUAACCAAAGUACAACAGGUAAAACAAAGUACAACAGGCAAAGCUUGAAUCUAACUAUCAUAAAAAAAUACACAAACCUAUCUAGCAUAAAUAAUUUGGCUCGGUGUAUCCAUGUUAACAACUGAUUAAUGGAAUAUAUUGGGUUGGGGUACCAAGGCUAAUUAGUUACAUGAUUCCUAAUCAGGAAGCCUACUCAAUAAUGUCAAUCUACAAAGCAUUCACAAUACGAAAAAGCGAAUAAAAUGCAGCUUCCAUAGGAAAAUGCGCAGAAUAAUUAGCAUCAAUCAAGGGAAGCCAAACCAAGCAGAGAACAUCACAAACAGAACAGAGCCAUAUAAGUAAGUGUGAAUGGAGGAAGUAAAAGCAAAGAGAGAGGAACACCUCGGCUAGAUUCGAGGAAGUCAUGUUCCACUCCUAGGCUCCUAGCGCACCUGUAGCCAAUCCCUCGUCCGUGAGAUGAAGCAACAUAGAUUGGGUUUAGAAAGCAAUAGAAUCACACUAACAUAUAGUAUAGGAAGAUGUGUUACCUUCCUAACAAAAAUAUCGAUGCUUGUCGAUUUAGUUCCUAAUCACCAUUGAUGUAGUUUGUCCUGGCUACUGCGGCGUGCACUGCCAUUUAGAAGAAAUAUAAACUAUUCAUGUGUAGAAAGAUCAUUGCUGCAACAUGGAACAACAUGUUCUAUAAGAGAGGCUUAGUUCAGCAAAAUCAACACGAUUACAUGACAAACUAUCAAACAUUGCACUAUAUAUCAAGAAUAUACAAGCAAGGCAAAAUCAAUCUAGCAAAUUCAACAAGGGUUGACUGAUGAUGUCUAAGUCCUUUUGGUUCACUACAAUCUUUCUGAACUCAUUCGUUUUUGAGAAAUUGGUUCCGAACCUGCAUCGAGGGGUGGAAGGAACGAGGAGGAGGGGGUCUCUUUUUUACCGCUCCUGGUCUAGGGUUUUCACUCCGAGCGUUUUGGUCGCGGACUGGGCUGACCAACCCUUCGCUGCCUCGUGGGCCAAGGAUCAUAUGGGUCGAGUAACAGGCACUUGAUAAAAAAACAUUGUGGUAACUAAACUUUACAUCAAACAGUAAAAUCCAACGGUGAAAAAUCAUCCAACCUCUAAUCAGAUGGCCAAUAUGUGUGCGCACGGGAGAGGCCCCAGAAUGGCGGGUAGCCUAG